rnacentral:rRNA from 1 species
CAGCAGCCACGGGAAUACGUAGGUGGCAAGCGUUAUCCGGAAUUAUUGGGCGUAAAGCGCGCGUAGGCGGUUUUUUAAGUCUGAUGUGAAAGCCCACGGCUCAACCGUGGAGGGUCAUUGGAAACUGGAAAACUUGAGUGCAGAAGAGGAAAGUGGAAUUCCAUGUGUAGCGGUGAAAUGCGCAGAGAUAUGGAGGAACACCAGUGGCGAAGGCGACUUUCUGGUCUGUAACUGACGCUGAUGUGCGAAAGCGUGGGGAUCAAACAGGAUUAGAUACCCCUGUAGUCCCUGUCUCUUAUAC